rnacentral:rRNA from 1 species
AUUGAACGCUGGCGGCAGGCCUAACACAUGCAAGUCGAGCGCGCGGCGGACGGGUGAGUCAUGUCUGGGAAACUGCCUGAAGGAGGGGGAUAACUACUGGAAACGGUAGAUAAUACCGCAUACCAUCCGAUGUGCGCAGAUGGGAUUCGCUAGUAGGUGGGGUAAUGGCUCACCUAGGCGACCAUCCCUAGCUGGUCUGAGAGGAUGACCGGCCACACUGGAACUGAGAAACGGUCCAGACUCCUACGGGAGGCAGCAGUGGGGAACAUUGCGCAAUGGGCGCAAGCCUGACGCAGCAAUGCCGCGUGUAUGAUGAAGGCCUUCGGGUUGUAAAGUACUUUUAGCGGGGAAGCGUUACCCGCUGAAGAAGCACCGGCUAACGCCGUGCCAGCAGCCGCGGUAAUAC